GACGAACCGUACGAACGUUAUUCGGAAUCACUGGGCUUAAAGGGUGCGUAGGCGGCGCGACAAGUUGGGUGUGAAAUCCCUCGGCUCAACCGAGGAACUGCGCCCAAAACUGUCGUGCUCGAGGGAGACAGAGGUGAGCGGAACUUAGGGUGGAGCGGUGAAAUGCGUUGAUAUCCUAAGGAACACCGGUGGCGAAAGCGGCUCACUGGGUCGUAUCUGACGCUCAGGCGCGACAGCGUGGGGAUCAAACAGG
rnacentral:rRNA from 1 species